rnacentral:lncRNA from 1 species
CUCGGCUUGGCGGCUGAGGAAUGACACUGCCCGAACACCUCGGAGGCCCCAUGGACCAUCAUGGACCUCGGGUAACUCUUAAGGUGGAGGGAAAGGUUGAAAGAGCCAACGGCCUCUUAAAAACUCACCCUCCAACUCCGAAAGGACUGGACUGUUCUCCUACCACUUGUGCUUCUCAGGAUCUGAGCCACCGCCCAUGAACCUACCAGAUACCCAGCCAUAUGAGGACACUCUGGCCAGACAGCCCAUCCUGAUAAAGAGCUUAACCCCCUGAUCUCUACAACCUCAGUGGACAGGACCCUUCCUGGUCGUUUAUGGUACCCCAAUGGCUGUCUGCUUACAAGAUCCUCCUCAGUGGAUUCACCCUUCCAGAGUAAAGCUGUGUCCAUCUGACACUCAGCCUGACCCUUCUUCCUCCUCUUGGAAGUCGCAAGUACUCUCCCCGACCUCGUUAAAACUCACCGAAAUCCCUGAAGAAACUUAAAUGUCCUGCUCCUGUCCGCCCUGCUUCUUCACCCUCUUCCUCCACUCUAUUUGCCAAGACAUCUCCUGGUUUCAUCCCCAAACUCCCACCUUAGAUUCUCUCUUAAACUGGAUAGAUGAUCUCAUCUUUUAGGGCACUCUGUAUAACUUCUUCCCAGAUGAGACGCCUCUGUUUACCUUCCUACUCACUCUUUAUCUAUCCCUCCUGCUCCUUUGGCUACCUGGCAUGGCCGCACUCCCACUUCCAGUAAUGCCUAAUUACCUCUACAAAACUCUCAACCCACUCUCUGUUAAACCAGUCCAACCCUUCUUUGGCAAAGGACGCUGGCUUUGCAUUUCUCUAUCAGCUACCACUUACGUUGCCACUCUCAUUCCCACAAAAAACUGGGUAGUUACUAGCUUAACCUACCACCCUCGUAAUGAAGGAAAAAGCCCCUUCUAACUCCUACAUAUGCAGUCAUUGGCCAACUUCUCCAUCAAUGAAAUGACCGAAAAUACCCUGACAGGUCGUGCAGUUCAACUUUUACGCUCCUACAUGUCCAGCCUCACCCAUUACACAAGUAAUGAAAAGCCCAUACACGGCCCUGUGACUACAAACGCUGUCUUAACUUUCCAAGCCCCUUUAUGCAUCCAACACAACCUGUCAUCAGGCCUACCUCUAGGUCACCUACUGUUCCAUCAGUGCAACUACGCCUUGCAGCUUCAAGCCCCAACUGACUGUAUUAACUUCCAGGUCUCCCAAACAGCUACAUUCAAACAGCCUGUCCGCUUCUCAAAGCCCCCAGAAGUCAUCAGCACCUCUCUGCUUAACAAACAAUCCGGGUUUUGUAAUGGCAGGCAUACGCACUGCAUGACCAUUCACCCCUGGACCUCCUGCAGCAGCACUCCCACCACUGACGAAUGCCUCCUUAUCCCCUCUUUCGAUUACCCUUCUGAGUGGCUCCUAGUAGAUACAAAAUGAUUUUUCCUCCAAUGGGAAAAUAAAACACAGGGAGCCACUCAGCUUAUCCCAAACAUCCCUUUUCAGCCGCUCACUGGGGCCGCCUUGGCAAGUACCCUAGGGGUGUGGGAAAAUGAAAACAAAUUCACACACCUUUUUAACAUACACAGCCAGUUCUGCCUACCCAGCCAAGGCAUAUUCUUCUUGUGUGGAACUUCAACCUAUGUCUGCCUCACCACUAACUGGACAAGCACCUGUACCCUAAUCUUCCUAAGCCCCAAAAUUGACAUUGCCCCUGGAAACCAAACCUUACCAGUCCCUGUCAGAGCCCAAGUCCAUCAGCAUAGGGCUGUGCAGAUAAUACCCUUGCUUAUAGGACUAGGAGUUACCAAUGCCACAGGAACUGGAAUAGCAGGUUUGUCCCCUUCCCUGUCCUACUAUCAUACACUCUCAAAGGAUCUCUCAGACAGCCUACAAGACAUAGCAAAAUCCACCCUUACUCUCCAAUCCCAAAUAGACUCCUUAGCAGCAGUAACUCUGCAGAACCACCGUGGCUUAGACCUCCUAACCGUCGAAAAAGGUGGGCUAUGCACCUUUUUAGGGGAAGAUUGUUUUUCCACCAACCAGUCUGGACUAGUACGAGAUGCUGCCUCGCAGUUAAAUGAAAAGGCUUCUAAAAUCAGACAAUGUCUUUCAGACUUUUAACACCAAUCUUUGGAGCUGGGCGUUGUGGCUUCUCCCUAUAGCUGGGCCCCUCAUUUCCAUCAUUCUCCUUCUCCUAUUUGGACCCUGCCUCUUCCGUCUAGCCUCUCAGUUCCUACAAAAUCUCAUUCAAGCUAUUACCAAUCAAUCUAUGCGACAAAUGCUACUCCUAACUGCCCCUCAAUGUCACCCCCACCCCAAGAUCUCUCUCCCAAUUAGGAGUCCAUGCCGCCCCAAGUCCCGCUCGAAGAAUCCCUGAGAAACAUCACCCCGUCCACUUCUUUUCUUAUUAAAACAAAAAGACAGGAAUGUCAUAUCCCACAAAUAUGGCUGCAUUAUUGCCAGCAGGCCAUUAUUGACGGUGGGCCAUUAAGAACUCUGUGACCAGCACAUAUGCCUCCAGACUUCCUGGAACCAGAAAACCUGCAACAACCAAAAACCACAAAAGAAGAACAACGGGUUUCUGUUCCAACUGGUUGAUCAACUUCUUGAGUCAACAAGUCCCAAAACCAUGUUGUAAUUUUCCACCCGCCACUUUGCCCUGUAAAGACUGCUCUCCCUCACACCUCCGGGCUGACUCCCUUUUCCGAUUCAGCCCACUAACACCCAAGUGAAUAAACGGCCUUGUUGCUCAC